rnacentral:rRNA from 1 species
CCUACGGGAGUCAGCAGUGAGGAAUAUUAGUCAAUGGCCGAGAGGCUGAACCAGCCAAGUCGCGUGAGGGAAGACGGCCCUACGGGUUGUAAACCUCUUUUGUCGGGGAGCAAAGCGAACCACGUGUGGUUCAUUGAGAGUACCCGACGAAAAAGCAUCGCCUAACUCCGUGCCAGCAGCCGCGGUAAUACGGAGGAUGCGAGCGUUAUCCGGAUUUAUUGGGUUGAAAGGGUGCGCAGGCGGAAGAUCAAGUCAGCGGUAAAAUUGAGAGGCUCAACCUCUUCGAGCCGUUGAAACUGGUUUUCUUGAGUGAGUGAGAAGUAUGCGGAAUGCGUGGUGUAGCGGUGAAAGGCAUAGAUAUCACGCAGAACUCCGAUUGCGAAGGCAGCAUACCGGCGCUCAACUGACGCUCAUGCACGAAAGUGUGGGUAUCGAACAGGAUUAGAUACCCCAGUAGUC